UACGAAGGGGCUAGCGUUGUUCGGAUUUAGCUAGGCGUAAGCGCACGUAGGCGGAUCGUUAAGUCGGGGGUGAAAUCCUGGAGCUCAACUCCAGAACUGCCUUUGAAUACUGGAGAAGCUUGAGUCCGGGGGAGGUGAGUGGAACUGCGAGUGUAGAGGUGAAAUUCGUAGAUAUUCGCAAGAACACCAGUGGCGAAGGCGGCUCACUGGCCCGGUACUGACGCUGAGGUGCGAAGGCGUGGGGAGCAAACAGG
rnacentral:rRNA from 1 species